CUUUUGCCGUGUGCAAUUUCACCCUUGCAAUCACCAACUUUGUAUCUAGAUUAAAUAAUUCAGCCACCCAAUGUGUAUAUCCAUUAAAUUCCAGCAACUCAAUUUUUUUUUCUGUCUUCUCCAAUAAAUAAUAGGUAGCCACAAUUCUUUUUCAAUUUCUCCACUUUCUUUUCCACUCAAGCUGCCCAAUUAUAUGUGUGAAUCCCUCAACAAUUUUCCAAGCAGCUGCCGUUUAUACUCCAACCGUAGCCGACGUCUUCCACUCCAAUUUUCUCCCUAGUUGGCGUGUGGAAUCUAUAAUGGCAGCUGCAAUUUCUUCUUAAUUUCUCCAGCAGCAGCCCCUUUUUUUGUCUUCUCCCCGUCUCCCUCUUUUUUUCUCUCGAGUCUCU
rnacentral:lncRNA from 1 species